rnacentral:rRNA from 1 species
GACGUAGGGGGCGAGCGUUGUUCGGAAUUACUGGGCGUAAAGCGCACGUAGGCGGCUUUGCAAGUUAGAGGUGAAAGCCCGGGGCUCAACUCCGGAAUUGCCUUUAAAACUGCAUCGCUAGAAUUGUGGAGAGGUAAGUGGAAUUCCGAGUGUAGAGGUGAAAUUCGUAGAUAUUCGGAAGAACACCAGUGGCGAAGGCGACUUACUGGACACAUAUUGACGCUGAGGUGCGAAAGCGUGGGGAGCAAACAGG